CUCCACUCUGGUCUCCAACGAUGCCUACUGGUACAGUCUGUUUCUAGCAGAGACCAGGAAAGGAAAGCUGGUGGUUAGACAGCCUCUGCCAAAGGGCUCCAGGUACAUUGUGUCCAGCAUACCGAGAGGGACAGGACUGACAGACACUAGUGACUCAGCAGCUUCUACUCUGCAGGUAGGAAUUUGAUAUACAGAUAAGAUAUUUUACCUACAUAACUGGAACAUUUAAAUUAAUUACGAUUAUUUUUUCUAUUUUCCCCUUUACCUUAAUCCACAAAAAAAAUUCAGUGAAUUAUUCAAAAAUCUCAUAAAUUAUCAUGAGGUACCACUAUCAAAUGCACUACUUAGUACAUAACCAACAUAGCAACAAUCCAUCAUCAUGAUUUAUCAGCUUUUAAUUGUGUUCAGGUCGUGUCCUCAAAAGUCAAGUCUGCAGUUAAAAGAACAAUUUAAAAACCUGUGUUUUAAUAGCAGUAUAAAUAAUGUAUAUUUAAUAAAUGAAAUGCAGUAUUUAGGAUCCACAAAGCUUAACUUCUUCAUGACUUAUUCAAGUUUAUUGUUUUUUAUAUACUUUUUACGUUAGUACUGUUAGCACAGUUUAUUUUUCUUAUUUAACAAUCAGUUUUAGAUGCGCCGUUAUCUUCAUGUUGUUAGAGUAACUUAAUCUCAACUAACUUCUCUGGCUGUGGCCAUUCUUUACAGCCAUUUCCUCCCUGUUCUUGUUUUUGUGUAAAUUAAAAUUUAAUAUCAUGUAUUUUCAAUAUUUUCCUGUGAAUUCUGUAUAUGCAAUAUUGGCAACUCGUGCAUUUAUGAUUAAUACAAUUGAGUACUUUAUUAUCUCUAAUAAUUUGUUUUUAUCAGUGGUAAAGAGCGACUAGAUUACUACGUCAUCUAAAGUACCAUGGUCAUAAAGAUAUGGACAGAGAAUCAUUAGAUCUAUAAUGAGACAUUAUGCGAAGUUAAUGAUAACUCGAAGUGCUACCAUAUUUGAAAAUCUUCUGCAGCAUUUUAGUGGUAUCUCGUUUUAUAAUGCAGUAAUCGUGAGGUCAUUACGGUUCAUUGCUUUGACUGGUGGAUUGUGUCUGAAAUUUGAUUGUUUUUUCAGCAAUAAUCAAUUUGAACUGAUUACAUUUAUAACUGUCACCUUUUAUGUUUUGGGACCACCAUUAACGGUAUCCAGGUCCGUGUGUAGUAAAAACAAAAAUAUAUGCAAAAACCAACGAAAAUCAAGAAUAAUUUGAAGACGUGUGGUGUUCAUUGUGGCUCAAAGGCUCCGACAAAAUCUCAGGGGUGGCGCUAUUCUAUCAGUAAAUUGCAAAGCAAAGAACGUAAAAGCAGAAAAGCGUGAUGGUCUUCGCACGUUUAGAAGCAAGAGGACAGCGUCGUAGUGCUGAAACUCCGCUGAGAAACGCGCUGGCCAAGAUUUAGCUUAAAUGUACUUUGGAAUUCAUACAAUGUGUAUUUGGCUCGAAAGAAAGAGGGGAAGUUUUUUUUAAUGAAUAUUGCUAGAAACAAACAUUAUAUCGUUUGAAGUAUGACGAACUCCCAUACAAGACGGGUUUCCAGAACAAUGGAGUCUUACGAGAGGUACGUGAUCCUCGCUAUUAUUUUUUCUUUUGCCCGGUACACAUCAGCCUCAGUGACUCAUUAUUCAAUACCAGAAGAAAUGAAAGAAGGAUCCGUCGUGGCUAAUCUCGCCACCGAUCUGACCCUGGAUCUUAAAACACUGAAUCAGAGGAAGAUGCGUCUUGAUAUCAUCGGGAACAAGAAAUAUCUGGAUGUGAACAAAGAGACUGGUGAGCUGUAUGUUGUUGAAAAGAUCGACAGGGAAUAUAUUUGCAAUACCAAGUCCUCUUGCUAUCUAAAAUUAGAGGUUAUACUAGAUAACCCAGUAAGAAUAUUUAAUAUAGAAGUAGAAAUUCUUGAUAUAAACGACAACGCCCCGCAAUUUCGAAGAGACGCCAUACAUUUGGAUAUAUCUGAAGCGACGGCAAAAGGAGAGAGAUUUUCUCUGAGUAAUGCAGUCGAUCCUGAUGUUGGAUCCAUUUCAGUGAAAACGUACCAUUUGAGUGAAAGUGAAUUUUUUAACAUAGAAGUUCAGACCGGAAGAGAUGGAUCGAAGUUUGCGGAUUUGAUCUUGAAAAAGACUUUAGAUCGGGAGCAGCAGCCUGUUCAUAAUUUGAUACUCACAGCUGUAGAUGGAGGAACACCUGCUCGCUCUGGCACUGCCAGUGUUAUUGUACGAGUUUUAGAUACAAAUGAUAACACACCCACCUUUGAUAAAGAAAAUCUGAAUGUAAAGGUAAUGGAAAACUCUCCGAUUGGAAGUCUUGUUGUUGAUCUUAAUGCAACAGAUUUAGAUGAAGGGUCAAAUUCUGAUAUAACAUAUUCAUACAGUUUAUAUACGUCAGAAAAAACACAGGAGACAUUUAAUCUGAAUCCUGCCACUGGUGAAAUUACAGUUAAGGGAGUGCUGAACUAUGAAGAUUUCAGGAUUUAUGAUAUGGAAGUUAUAGCUGCUGAUAAAGGAGCCAGCAGUUUAACAGGACAAUGCACCAUAAAGAUUCUAGUUGAAGACAUGAAUGAUAAUCACCCAGAAAUAUCAAUUAAAUCAUUUCAGAGUCCAGUGACUGAAAACAUCGAGUUAGACACAGUGAUAGCUGUAGUUAGUGUCAGUGAUAAAGAUUCAGGUGAUAAUGGAAUAGUUGAUCUUCAUAUUCCAGAUAAUAUGCCUUUCAAACUGAGGGAGUCCUCUGAUAACUAUUAUGAAUUAGUAGUGUCGGAGCCAUUAGACCGUGAGAAGGUGCCAGAAUAUGACAUCACUUUCACUGUGACAGACAGAGGCUCUCCUCCUUUAUCUGACAAUGAAACUAUGACUUUAGAGCUGCUGGAUGUUAAUGACAAUGUCCCACAGUUCCCCCAGUCAUUUUAUACUAUACGUGUCAUGGAGAAUAACGCACCUGGGGCCUUGCUCAGCUCACUCACUGCCUUUGACCCCGACCUCCAUGAAAACCAGUAUCUAGUUUAUUUCAUAAUAGAGAAGGAGAUAGCCAACACAUCCAUGUCCAUGCUGUUCUCCAUCAAUCCAGAGAACGGUAAUCUUUACGCACUCAAAACCUUUGAUUAUGAGAUUGAGAAGGAGUUUCUGUUCCACAUCGAGGCCAGAGACUCUGGCUCUCCUCCUCUCAGCAGUAACGUGACCGUCCACAUCAUUAUUGUGGACCAGAACGACAAUGCUCCUGUUAUUGUGUCUCCGUGGCGUGCACACGGCUCUGUGGUGGAGGAAAAGAUCCCCAGAUCCACUGAUAAAGGAUCCCUGAUUGCCAAGGUGAUAGCGUUAGAUACAGACUCUGUGCACAACUCUCGGAUCACCUACCAGUUUCUACAGGUGACUGACGCCACCUUGUUCAGUCUGGACCAAUACAAUGGAGAGAUCCGGACUAUGAGGAUGUUCAGUUACAGAGAUCCACGCCACCAGAGACUUGUUGUUGUUGCCAAGGACAAUGGAGAGCCUGCUCUCUCUGCUACAGUCACCAUCAAGCUGACCACAAUGGAGACUGCUGUUAAAGCCUACUCUGACAUGACUGAGGAGCCUCUGGAAUAUGACAUCUUCUCAGACAUCAACCUGUAUUUGGUCAUCGGUCUGGGCUCGGUGUCGUUUCUGCUGCUCAUCACCAUAUUGGUCACCAUCGUGAUCAAGUGUCAGAAACCCAAGCCCAGCAAAGCAGCUCCUCCCUCCAGGAACAGUGUGAUCAGUGAGAGGAACUCCACCAUCGCAGACUCCACUCUGGUCUCCAACGAUGCCUACUGGUACAGUCUGUUUCUAGCAGAGACCAGGAAAGGAAAGCUGGUGGUUAGACAGACCUCUGCCAAAGGGCUCCAGGUACAUUGUGUCCAGCAUACCGAGAGGGACAGGACUGACAGACACUAGUGACUCAGCAGCUUCUACUCUGCAGUACCCUAAAUGAAGGAAGUCCGCUCUGCAGUUGGAGGCAUCCACAACCAGCAGCAGCAGUUCCACAUAAGACCCCCAUCCACCUGCAGCGUACAGGAUUAACACUGACAAGAAUGGCUUCACAGAGGAAAGAAGAAACCUCUAACCAUACACCCCCCUCCAGGUCUGUCCUGCUGAGUCUGUAAAAACAUGGCCCAGAGCUUUAUCUUUGAACCCAUGAAAAGCCAGUCAACAAUGCAUCCCUGUCCAUUCAGUAUGCAUGAUAAGACAGCAUGGUUUCAACCACACUUCAACUGUCAUAUGUUAAAAAGAAAAUUUCAAGAGGAGAUGCAAUGAAAUGGACUAUCUGAAAAACUGUGCCAGUGGAUAUUAAAAGAAGCCACAUCAAAGAGUAAAAAGGUGGACAUUGAAAUGUUGAAAUGCCUUGAAAAUACACACACUCUCUCUCGCUCUCUUCAAAAAAUGAAACGCAUAAGAUAUCAUAUUUUUAACUGCUCUGCUUUGUCUUGGUCUACUACAGCUUUGUUGUAUGAUAAAUAGGGUAACUAAGGUGAAAUAGCACAAUUAACUAAACAUCAGAAAAGCACCAACCUACAGUUUUAAUGUAUGAAAUAAGAGAAAAUCAGUAUUUUGUAAAUGUGGUAACUUUGAGUACUUUUAUGUUUUGUACUUGACUUUGUGCUUUAUAUGUGAACUAGGCCUGAAGAUACUGUAUGACUUAGAGCAGCGGUCCCCAACCUUUUUUGCGCCACGGACCGGUUUAUGCCCGACAAUAUUUUCAUGGACCGGCCUUUAAGGUGUCGCGGAUAAAUACAACAAAAUAAAACUAGUACCGGUACCGAAAAAAAGAAUUUAUUCAUAACACACGUAAAAGACCAAGGAAAACCGAGUAAACGAUAAAAACGAUAACAAAAUAACGCUGAAAACCGAUAAAAACCCUGAAAACGAUACAUUUCACACCCGAGCCUCAACUCUCGCGGCCUGGUACCAAACGACUCACGGACCGGUACCGGUCCGAGGCCCGGGGGUUGGGGACCGCUGACUUGGAGUGCUGAGAGAUAAGAUCAAUAAGUGUACAGAACAGAAAAGAUCAAGGCCUUUAGCCAUUAUGCCUUUAAGUUGUUUUUGCAUGGAAGAAUUCAAGUACUUUUGACAGCUUUUGUUAUUUUAUUAUAUUAAGCAACAUUUUUGCAGUUAAGUCUCACUGUUUCACUUGAUUUUUCCAAACAAUAUGGAGCGACUUUAAUGGGACAAUAAUGGGAGUAAAUCAGUAUAACGAUAACCUUUUAAUCAUGAUGUCCUAAGAGGUUUAGAAGAUGUCAAACAAAAUCUAUAAAACAGCACAAUGACAUUGCUUUGGACUCAGAAAAUGAUUUAAUCAAAGCCUAAAUUAAAAUGUGCAAUGUCGCUUAUUAUUUAUUUUAUGUGCUCCUCUAGAAUGAGCCUUGGAUUUUAAAUGCAACACAAGUGAAUACAGUGAGCCUUUAGCACUCUGUACAGUAUAUGCACCACAAACAUGAACAUGUACAGUCACCUGUCAAUGUCUAGAUCCAAGUUCUGGCUGUUCCUUCAUUUUGAUGUCUUCUGCAGUGUUUAAAACCGAAGAACCAAACAUGUUCGUUUAAUCCUUACACUUCAGAAACAAUGUUAUUAUGGUUGAUUUCACUCAAUGAAAGCUGUUCUAAUGUUUAUCACUGACUAACUGUAUGUAUAUGGAUAUGCAUAUGCAGCACCUUAUCUAGGAUACAGAUAUAAUUCAUAUAUACAGUAUCUCAUUUAUAUGUAUCUUUGAAUAUGCCUUUCAUUUUCAAUACCAGUGCUUUUGCAACUUUUAAUGUGAAAAAAGUGGAACUCCUGUGCCAUAAGAUUUAUGACCCCAACUAGUAUGUUUAGCACAGCUCAUAAAGCAUUACUUUUAAGAAGCUCAAAUAUCUUAAAAACAUAUGCAGUAAGGGCCUUUGUACAGUGGUACUUUUAUGGUGCAAUAUAUGGUAAUUUGUGUAAUGUGUGAUCUGUGGUUUGGUCUGUAAGAUUCAUUAAAUACUAAACAGAAUAAACUAAAA